GCUGCAGGUCAUUAAAAGGGAAAUGUCUGGGCAGAAAUGGUACAUGCUGAGGAGUUACAUAAUAGAGAGAUAGCAUGGGUUGAGCGAAUACUAUAUUGGGGAAGAUGCAGCUGAGGAGUUACAUACUAUUUUUCAAAUUGAUGUAGAUGGUAUGUUACGUAUCUCAUGUCACAUUAGCCAUAUGUUCUUUGCUUGUAGCUUUGCACUGAAGUUCCUGUGCUGGAGUUCAACAUAAUAUUAGUUUCUAAUGACCCAUAUUGUGCUUGGAUUGAAGGUUCUUUGUAUAAAUGGAAUACUUGUGUACUAUUUUCUCAUAUAUAGGUAUCGUGUUGUAUCCAUUUGCCUUUUCGGCUGUAUAUAACAGGUAGAAUCUGAUUCAGAA